rnacentral:rRNA from 1 species
GAACGACGUUCAUUUGUGUAUCAAUACCGAGCGAAGCUAGUGGCGAACGGGUGCGUAACACAUGAGUCAUCUGCCCAGAAGUGGGGAAUAUCUCGGCGAAAGCCGGAUUAAUACCGCAUGUGGUCGUAAGACCAAAGCCGGGGCAACCUGGCGCUUUUGGAGGAGCUCGUGGCCUAUCAGCUAGUUGGUGAGGUAACGGCUUACCAAGGCAACGACGGGUAGCUGGUCUGAGAUGACGAUCAUCCACACUGGAACUGAGAUACGGUCCAGACACCUACGGGUGGCAGCAGUCGAGAAUUUUUCUCAAUGGGGGAAACCCUGAAUGAGCGACGCCGCGUGGAGGAUGAAUGCUUUCGGGUUGUAAACUCCUGUCAUUUGGGAACAAGGCCUUACGUUAACUGCGUGGAGGAUUGAUAGUACCAUAAGAGGACUAGACGGCUAACUCUGUGCCAGCAGCCGCGGUAAU